UACGGAGGAUGCAAGCGUUAUCCGGAUUCAUUGGGUUUAAAGGGUGCGUAGGCGGGUCUAUAAGUCAGGGGUGAAAUCCGGCAGCUCAACUGUCGAACUGCCUCUGAUACUGUAGGUCUUGAGUUAAGUUGAGGCAGGCGGAAUAUGACAUGUAGCGGUGAAAAUGCAUAGAUAUGUCAUAGAACACCGAUAGCGAAAGGCAGCCUGCCAAACUUACACUGACGCUGAUGCACGAAAGCGUGGGUAGCGAACAGG
rnacentral:rRNA from 1 species